AACCUAUCGAAUCACCUCAUAUAGGAUACAUUCUAUACCCAGUUAAGUUGAGUGUUCGGAAUCCCAUACCGUGUUUUUACUGACACGCUGGGGCAAGUACCAUCCCCUGAUCAGCGCACACAAGAUUGUGAAAAUCUUUAUAUCAUCAUGGCAGGUCACGGCCAAGUACUUCAACUCCUACACCAUCACUGGAAGGAGGAAUUGCGUCUUGGCCACGUAUGCCAGCAUCGCCACCCUUAUCCUGUUCUUCAAACUGAAGCCUAAGAAGAAAGCUGCAACGGUGAGCUGAGGCUUUGUGAAUGUUGCUGUACAGGAUGAAGAUUCAACAAACAGUUGUUUUGAUUCACAAUGUUAAAUAAAACUUGUACC